AUCUUCCUUUUCUCUUUCACAAUCUCUCUGGUAUAUUGUGGAUCCUCUCUCUUUUUCUCUAUGGAUAUUUCGUUGAUCUCAGGCUUUUUCUUGCAAAUUUCGGAUCCUCUCUUCUGUUCUUCUCUUUUUCCUCCUUUUCUUUUCUUCACUUGAUUUCACGUUUGAUCUGCUAUUUAAUCUGCAAUUUCUUUCAUCAAAUUAAGCAUUUUGUAGCAUUAGAAGCAAGAGAAAACAAUUUAGGCAGAUAAAGAGCCGUUAGAGGAUUUUUAGGAAGCAUAAAUGGCAAUUAAAAUGGGCAAAAAAAUAGCCGUUGCUGACAUUUUCCGUCGCAGGGGUCGACUCAUGAGUCGACUCAUGCUUCAGGGGUCGACUCAUGAGUCGAUCUCUGUUGCAAAAAUCAGAGAAUGCUUUUCUGGAAUUUCUUGGCUCAAAUUAGCAGGGGUCGACUCAUGCCUUGUGGGUCGACUCAUGAGUCGACUCACAGGUCGUGCCAAGCCAGAAAACUAGCGUGCCAAAGAGAAUUU
rnacentral:lncRNA from 1 species